rnacentral:rRNA from 1 species
AUGAAGGGGGGCAGCAUGGAGUAUACAGUUGCUCUUUUGUUCAUCGGGUGCUUAGUCAUGGUUGGACAAUGUCGUCCUGAGCCCGAGAGCACACACGAAGAUGGACAUCGCAACACGGCUACGGUGGACUCAUCAUUAGAUGACAACAAACUUACCUUGGAAUGGUGUGUCGCAAGGGAUUGUGUGACCAAAGGUGGACCGCAUGCCAAUCAUUGCUUUUGCUGCCUCAAUGCGCCGGGAGCACCUUGUUUUAAUUCGAGAGUGGAAUGUCAUAUUCAAUGCCCAAGUAUGCUACCAGGAAAAUAA